rnacentral:rRNA from 1 species
AUGUCCACACCGGUGGAUCGAGCUCGCCCGUGGGAGGACGGACGCAAAUCAACUCGGAUCAGGUCAUCCUCUUCUCCUCCCAGCGGCAGCGAGACGGCGGCCGAGAGACUCACCGACGACCUCCUCGUCGAGAUACUCUCGCGCGUGCCUGGCAGGUCGCUCUGCCGCUUCAAGUGCGUCUCCAAGCACUGGCUCGGCCUCAUCAACGACCGCACCUACCGCCGGAAGCUCCCCCAGACCCUGACCGGCUUCUUCUUCAGGGAAACCUCGGAGGAGCAAUUGGUACAUCCAGUUCUUCCUUUCACCAAUUUAUCCGGGAGCCGCAGUCGCACCAGUCUCACCUUCCUGCCCAACGGCCGAAAGGCCUUUCUUUUGGACUGUUGCAAUGGCCUCCUUCUCUACGACGUAUCUUCCCAUCGUGGCAAGCGCCGUUACGUCGUUUGCAAUCCUGCCAUGGAGGAAUGGACUGAGUUGCCGCAUUGCGACCAUGCCGGCUGGGUGGGUAUUGUGCACUUAGGUUUUGAUCCAGCCGUGUCCCCCCACUUCCAUGUGUUUUUGUUGACGGACCAACUAAAUGGAUUUGGUCUCCCGGGUGUGGACGUCUGUUCAUAUGUCUAUUCAUCGGAAACCGGGAGGUGGGUUCAUAAGGAGAAGAAAUGGUACUGGGAUAUUGAUCUCGUUCGUGUUCACUCAGCUGCAUAUCUUAAUGGUUGUCUGCAUUUUUUCGCCGAAAUCAAUCACAAUACUCUGUGUCUAGCUGCCGACAAGGAGGCGGGAACAAUGAUAUACUCUCAUGUUCCUCCUCUGAAUGAUGGUUUUAUGCAGCAGUCACAGGGCUGCUUGUAUUAUGCUGGUUUUGGAAGAGAUGACAAUGAUGAUAAUGUAGUUCGACUGCUAGUUUAUGUUCUCGAAGACUAUAAUAGUAAAGAAUGGAUACUGAAGCAUAGCAUUGAAAGUUCACAUCUAUGUGGAGGGCAACAUGAUGUAGACAUUGAGGAGGACUUUUGUUGGAUUGCAAUUCAUCCGGAAUGUAACUUGAUCUUCUUCACCUUGGGCUGGGAUAGAACAUUCAUGUGCUAUGAUAUGGAUCGCCGGCAACUCAAAGUGAUAUGCAAUCUUGAAAAUUGCGCUCCACCAUAUCUGCCACAUGUGCCGCUAUAUGAAGAGUUACAAUCGUUGCACAAGUGA